CGUACACUCCUACGGGAGGCAGCAGUGGGGAAUUUUAGACAAUGGGGGCAACCCUGAUCCAGCAAUGCCGCGUGAGUGAAGAAGGCCUUCGGGUUGUAAAGCUCUUUUGUCAGGGAAGAAACGGUGGUGGCGAAUAACUACUACUAAUGACGGUACCUGAAGAAUAAGCACCGGCUAACUACGUGCCAGCAGCCGCGGUAAUACGUAGGGUGCAAGCGUUAAUCGGAAUUACUGGGCGUAAAGCGUGCGCAGGCGGUUGUGUAAGUCAGAUGUGAAAUCCCCGGGCUCAACCUGGGAAUUGCAUUUGAGACUGCACGGCUAGAGUGUGUCAGAGGGGGGUAGAAUUCCACGUGUAGCAGUGAAAUGCGUAGAUAUGUGGAGGAAUACCGAUGGCGAAGGCAGCCCCCUGGGAUAACACUGACGCUCAUGCACGAAAGCGUGGGGAGCAAACAGGAUUAGAAACCCGAGUAGUCC
rnacentral:rRNA from 1 species